AAAGUAGAUUUUAAAAUAUAAAGAUCUGUAUAAAGGAUUAAUAAAAGUAGUUUGGAGACUAUUCAGAGAAAAUUAGGUAGAAUUUUCCAAGCAUAAAGAUGGCCCUGUCAUUUUCCACUCACCUAUCUCCAUCCUGACAACAUUAUAUUCUUCUCUUAUGAAUUCAUCUAUAUUUAAAUAGUCUAUAUAGAAAUAGUCUGAGUAGAUAUCUCUGCAGUGGGAACAUAACGGCUUUCCAAUUAAUAUCCUCAAAAUUGUUUUGUUUUCCUUAGAUUUACAUCACACACUUAACUGAGGAAAAGACAUUCAUGUUAUAUACCUAAAUACUUUUGAAAAUAUUAUUUUAAUUGUAACCCAACAAAACUCUUAUUUUCAUCUCAGAGAUUUCAGUCAUAGUAAGAAGAAAUCUCUUGUGUGUUUGCAAAGUAGCAAGCUUCUGUUAGCAAAAGGACAGUGUGGAAAAGUAUAAAAUACUAAAAAGGACAAAGAAUAAAAUAAAGACCAAUAAGUUUAAAUACAUUAUUCAGCCACUUUCCUGGAAGGAUGUCUGGCUUAUUGCAAUCUUACUUCUUUCUAUAACUCUUCUUUUUUGAUAGCUCCUGAAAAGCUAUGGCAAGGAAGAGGAACACAUUUUGGAAGCAGAAAAUAAAAAACUAAUAGAAGACCAGGAGAAAUUGAAAACUGAAUUAAAGAAGACUUCAGAUGGUUUUCCACUGUGGGCCACUGGGUGUCUUUCAGCUAGCUGCUGUCUCCCUUUGACACAUCCCAUCAUUGUGGAUUUUUUUGUCUUAAUUUUUUGAGUACUUCCUUAUUUUUUGAUACUGCAAGAUGUUCUGUGCUUAUCUUGUGUAUACCCUUCCCCAUUCCUAGAAUCAGUGUUUUAGGUUUUUUUUGUUAACUGGUUUCUGUGAUGCUGUUUGUUUGAUUUUGUUUUUAAUUUUGGAUUAGCAUGUGGUAUUUGUAACAUGACUAUAUUUUUAUCAAGAUAUUUAAAGAAUAGUCUGUUUGCUUUGUGGCUCUCUAGCUAUCCUGAAUAUUUUGUUUUUUGAUUAAAGAUAUAAUUGUUUUUAGUUGCAACCAGGCUUCCCAUCAAGUGGCUAAAGUAGUACCUCAUGUUUACCCAACAUUUAUCAUAUUUUUAAGAAAUGAAUUGGUUCCACACAAGUGAAUUUUUCAGAUGCUUAAAGCUUAGACUUUAUAUUUAUCUGUUCUUUCCUUCCUGCAAGGAAUGUAUUUAAGCACCUUCCAUGUGGUAGGCACUGUGCUGGGUGCUCAGAACAGAAACAAGGCAAAGCUCAUUUUCUUGAGCAGCCCACAGCCUCGUGGGGACAUAGUUAGCCUUCAGCAUGGUAAGUGCUGAAACAGAGGUCAGCUCAAGAAGAAGUAGGAGCCAGCAGUGGAGAUCAAGCACAAUUUCUUGACAUUUUGGAGGGUGAAUGUCAAUUAGCCAGAUGAAAUAGGAGAGAAUGAGUGAGACAGGGAGAUUAAAGGAGGAUAUUUAACAAAAUGAGCAGCAUGUAACUGAAACAGAGCGUGGCAUUUUUGAAGUAUAACAAGGGAGCUCCAUAUAAUUGGAACACAAAAUAAGAUGGCAGUGAUGAGAGUUGAGCAGAGGCCUAGGAUCCAUCUUGCAGGGACUCACAUGCCCUGUUUAUACAUUGACAUUUUGGGAGCACCAUUGGAAGGGCUUUUAGGAAGAAGAAGAAUCACUUUAACAGUACUGUGAACAAUGAGUUAGAGUAACCAGGAAACUACGUGAGGAACCCAUUUUAGUAAUCUAAAUUAGCGAUGAUAACAGUGGUAACAGAUGGAGUGGAGCAGAUGGAUUGGUGAGAUACAAAGGAAGUACAGUCAACAAACCUUAUCAACAUAUGGAUAGGAGGCUAUAAGACAAUGGGUAAUGAUGGGAAGGUGAUUAAUAAAACAGACCAGAUCUGACAAUAUAGGCAUGUACAAAAAUAACCAUAAUACAAUUAAAACCACAAUUUAUAUUCCUUA